rnacentral:rRNA from 1 species
GUAGUCCACGCCCUAAACUAUGUCAACUGGUUGUUGGGGAAGGUAACUUCCUUAGUAACGAAGCUAACGCGUGAAGUUGACCGCCUGGGGAGUACGGCCGCAAGGUUAAAACUCAAAGGAAUUGACGGGGACCCGCACAAGCGGUGGAUGAUGUGGAUUAAUUCGAUGCAACGCGAAGAACCUUACCUACCCUUGACAUGUAGCGAACCCUGCUGAGAGGUGGGGGUGCCCGAAAGGGAGCGCUAACACAGGUGCUGCAUGGCUGUCGUCAGCUCGUGUCGUGAGAUGUUGGGUUAAGUCCCGCAACGAGCGCAACCCUUGUCACUAGUUGCUACGAAAGGGCACUCUAGUGAGACUGCCGGUGACAAACCGGA